rnacentral:rRNA from 1 species
GACGAACGCUGGCGGCGUGCCUAAUACAUGCAAGUAGAACGCUGAAGAGAGGAGCUUGCUCUUCUUGGAUGAGUUGCGAACGGGUGAGUAACGCGUAGGUAACCUGCCUGGUAGCGGGGGAUAACUAUUGGAAACGAUAGCUAAUACCGCAUAAAAUGGAUUAUCGCAUGAUAAUCCAUUGAAAGGUGCAAAUGCAUCACUACCAGAUGGACCUGCGUUGUAUUAGCUAGUUGGUGGUGUAACGGCUCACCAAGGCGACGAUACAUAGCCGACCUGAGAGGGUGAUCGGCCACACUGGGACUGAGACACGGCCCAGACUCCUACGGGAGGCAGCAGUAGGGAAUCUUCGGCAAUGGACGGAAGUCUGACCGAGCAACGCCGCGUGAGUGAAGAAGGGUUUCGGAUCGUAAAGCUCUGUUGUAAGAGAAGAACGAGUGUGAGAGUGGAAAGUUCACACUGUGACGGUAGCUUACCAGAAAGGGACGGCUAACUACGUG